rnacentral:lncRNA from 1 species
AUGUUUGUUGAGCAUUUUGGGUGCCCCCAGUGCUGUAGAAAAUGCAGCGUAUUCCUUAUCUCGUGGAAACCCUACAACUGCUCUUGGGACAUCAGUACUGUCUUUAUUCCCAUUUUACAGGUAAAGAAACUGAGGCUUGGAGAGGUUCUGACGCCAGCUUGGCUAGAAAGCCACGAAGAGUGUGGAGAGAGGCAGAAGGGACCCAGGUUAGGAGCUCUGCUGAGACUCAGGUGUGACCCACAGAUUAGUCCAGAGCCAUCAUGGCCAGGAUGCAAGGCCGGCCCAUCCCUAGCUAAGGAAAAAGAAAAGUACGCCAACCCUUCCACAUGGAGAUGUGAGCAAGCAAAAGAGGUAGAAGGGCAAUUCACGAAACAACUGUAAGGAAAUGACCUCCAGUUAUAGAAUACUUAAUUUCAUAAGUAAUUCAAGGAGAUAUAAAUGCAAAGAUCAAGGUGUCAUUUGUCACCUGUAAAAUUCGAGAACUUACUUUAUGUUACUAUUUACUGUGUUUGUGUUAUGAUACGGUUAUGCUCAUAACAGUAAACGUGUAUAAACUUUCUGGAAAGCAUCUUGCAAAUUAUGCAAAAGAUGUU